rnacentral:sRNA from 1 species
GACAUUGCGUCGACAGCCCGGGCUACAGGUUUUGGGCUGAUGGCUGGUGGCUUAUGCCACCGGCCU